rnacentral:siRNA from 1 species
UCGGAUAAUCGGAUAUAAUAUCA